CUACGGGUGGCUGCAGUGAGGAAUCUUCCACAAUGGACGAAAGUCUGAUGGAGCGACACCGCGUGAAGGAUGAAGGCCUAACGGUUGUAAACUUCUUUUCUGAAGGAGCAUAAUGAGAGUACUUCAGGAAUAAGGGACGGCUAAAUACGUGCCAGCAGCCGCGGUAAUACGUAUGUCUCGAGCGUUACCCGGAAUCACUGGGUGUAAAGGGUUCGUAGGCGGAAAUUUAAGUCAGGUAUGAAAGACCGGAGCUCAACUCCGAGUUUGUGCUUGAAACUGGAUUUCCAGAAUUAGGGAGAGGUAAGCGGAAUUCUAAGUGUAGGGGUGCAAUCCGUAGAUACUUAGAGGAACACCAAAAGCGAAGGCAGCUUACUGGAACUAUGUUGACGCUGAGGAACGAAAGCGUGGGGAGCGAAAAGGAUUAGAUACCCGAGUAGUC
rnacentral:rRNA from 1 species